UGAAGGUAGCCCGGAUUCUAGACCAAACAGUCUGGCUAAAUCUGUCUAUUUUUAGAUAAGAUUAUAUCAGUUAUAGAUUCUUCUUUAAAACACAUGUAAAUAGCUUUCAGCUUACUAUCUUUAGGGUUUUUUAUCCCAUUCAGCUUUUACAAACACAUUUACCCUUUACUGAAAUAUUUGAUUUACUUCUUGAAAAGAGGUGUGUGGACCUGUGAUAAAGUUAGGAAUUAAAAGGAUUUGAAGAAAGCUUAUUUGCAAAGAGCUGGUGUGACUGUUUCUUAGAGCUUUUAACUAGUAUUUGUAUAAGUAUGUUAAGCACUUCAUAAUCCACAUCAAAAGAAAAGUUCCUGUCCAAUGCAUUUAGGCUGGCAUUCAUCCCACUGCCGUUUAAAUACUGAAAUGAUUUGCUGGUCAUCGGUAUCUGCUGUUUUGCUGUUGAUGCUUUAUGGAAGCUGAAGAGAAUAGACUGUUCACUUCCAACAUACACUCCACGUGUGGAUUAUACUGAACUUGCAACUGCAGCUUUAAGCCUCAGUUGAAUAUCUAAAGCCUGGGGAGAUUAAUCUGAGUGUUCUAUGAGAUGGACAUUCAAAGUGAAGAUAAAAAGGAUGACUCUUCAACAUCUCCUUCUUUCCUGUUCUAAGAAAAUCUGACUGAUUAUUGGAAGUGAUUUUGAGCAUCCUUUGAGUGAAUGCUCUGGGUUCAUCUUUAAACACCUCAGCUCAGCGCUGCUUAGGCUGCUACACAGGGAAUAAAGGUAACCUUCGGUAGCCCUUUACUAAGUUGUUUCUCACUCUCUGAGACAGUGGAUAUAAAACUCUAGUGACUCAUUCUAUCCCACUGGAUCUUUAUUGAUUUUGUUAUAUGUAAUACUUCCAUGCAGUAUAACACAAUUACAAAGAAAAAAAAGGAUUGUGUGAAGGUUUUUGUUGAAGUCCAUUCUAUCAUCUCCUCUGAUCUUUCUUAUUACUGGACCCUUCUGUGAGCACCCACUAUAUGUACCUAUUAGUAAGUUCUCCACUGGGAACUAAGUAUACACAUGGAAAUAAGUUCCACUGUGAGCAGCCAAAAUAAUUGUUUUAUUCAUUGUGUCAUUAUCUGUGUUUAUAUCGCUUGCUCAUUCUUUUUUUUAUCUUUACAACAGUACUUUAAAUUCUUCUGCGUAUCCUCUUAUCAAGCUCUAUCGCGGUUCUCAAGCCCGUCUGGAUCUACCUGAAUGCUGCCAAGCCAACCAUUAGAUGUAUACAGAUUGCCCAGUUUGUUGCUACAGUUAAGUAGUUCCUGCUUUUGUAUUCAUAAGGGGUCUAAUUUGACUCUCGCUCCUCUACCUGGCCACCAGCUUGACUGGUUAUCUUUACAAGUCACAUCACAGAUGUGUAACUAGAAAUCAGUGCUGCCAUUCACUGUAUUGAUAACUGUUGCUUCUUCAUAGUGAGGAGUUCUUGACAAGAUGCAGUGAAUCAAAAAGUAAAACCAAUGCAUUUAAUGUUGUGGCGUGUUCAAGUUAAAUUAAGUCUUUCCUACUGAAUCAGAAACUGCAAAUAAGCUUCCCUGCUUAAUCAUGUUUUGUAUCUUUCCUGACAUUUUGAGAGGGGCACACAAGUGGUGUGCAUGUGAACCAGAAAAGGAGCACCAUCUAGUGUUUAAAGAAUCAUGCUGGAGAAUGAAAAGCAUAUAAAACAUUGCCCAUCAGUUAAAAUAGACCGUGUAAUCUAUUGGCUGACUUCUUUGCAUAUAAGGAAAGAAUUUAUUCUGGAAAUGUAAUACUGUGAUGUUCUUCAUGGACAUUGUGGUGACCGAGAGACAAGGGAAUGUAGAACAACGUGUCAGACUGCAUCAGAAACAAUAAUUUGGGGAAAGUUUUUGCCUGUUUGUCUCCAUUGGUUAAAAUAAAACCUCUGACCUCCAAAGAAUUUAUAUAAUAGUAGGUGCAAACCAUUCACUCUUCAAAAUAAUGCAAUACUGUAUGCAGGUACUAGACAUAAACAGAGUAUAGCAGAGUGACAGUAUUUAUCAAGGCAGUGACAGUCACAAAUAACAUUCUGAAAGAACCUGCAAAAUAUUUGUUAAAUUGGAAUAAAAGUAACUGUUUAGCCUGUAUCUCAGCACGCAGGUUUGGGCUGGCACUGUGUGGGAGAGGGCUUGAAGGGAGACUGUUGUCUGUUGUCCCACUGUUCUGAAAAACAAGAACCAGUAGUUCAGUGUAAGCUCUGAAAAAUUCUGGGUUCAUCUCUAACUGAACCCUUGUAUCUCAGAAGAUACCAGACAAGAGACAAGAUCAUUUUUGCUUUCUGUUUUGUGAAAGGAAGCAGUGUACGCUCUCAGCCGUUCUAAUUUUGGAGCUAUGAUCUCACAUUGUCCAAAAGCAGAGUCCAGAUGUGCUGCUUCUAAUUAGUUGGUGUUUCCUGCACUUCUGUAAACAUGACAAUGUGAGCCUGACGUAUACACUUGCUGUACUCUCUCUGCCUCCAUAUCCAGUGAUGGACUCUUUCUCGCAUAUUCACUCUUCUUUUAGAAGAAAAGAUGAACUUCUUCAAGAAGUGUGAAUAUUCAUUGUAAGAUAAACCCAUUCCAAUUGUAAUAAGUUAGACCAGUCUCUCCUGUUUCAAGGAGGUGACAUCCAGAAGGGAGGACUGGAAGAAUUCUGCAAUCCUUUCUGUCAACAUCAAAGUGGAACCCAUGGACAACCACAUCGGAUAAUCAGGUGCGUUAAUAUGCUUCACAUCCUUUACACAGUACAGAAUGACAGUAUUGUCUGGCAGAUAUGAAUGACUUUUAAUUGAGAAAUAAAUCGAGGUAUUUGAAAAUAAGGACAGAGCAAGGAGCUCUGGGGAUUUUAGGAUUUCUGGAUUAACCUCAACUUUUAAACUGUCAGAAUUCAGUCAAAUGAACCUAGCUCAUAAAUAAGCAUAAUCCGAAUUAAAACACCACUGUAAUGACGAUUUUGACAGCAAAUCUUUUGUGCUUUGUUUAAAAUUGAGAAUGAAAAGCCGAAUGUCAUUAAGCACAGAAUUCUCUCCUCCAGUUUUCGGAUGUUUAUGCCACAUCAGACUCUUUUCUGGUUUGCACCCAGACCGUUAAGACAUGUUUGAUGGAAACAGGAGUCUGCUGUUCCAAACACAAUGAGAAAUAGCAUGAAAUGACCGUUACCUCCUUGGGGGCGGCUCCAUCUCUUUACGGUGAAGCUUUCUAUUACACAAUCUCUCUGUUAUUAACACUAGAACUUUCCUAGAGUCCAGAAUACGAAACAUAAACAUACAAACGGUUUGACCGGGGCCAUUCAUAAGUUUAAAAAGUGGAAGAUACAGCU